AUGAGAGUCUUUACAGUCUUUUGUCCCUUGAUUUCUUUAUGCUCUCAGCUCUGCCCCCCAGCUUCCCUGCUUCCUACUGUAUUCCAGGCUAUUCUUAUUAACCACAUUUCACUGGUUACUUCUACUUUUUCAAGACUUAAAAAUUACAGCCAACACUGCACAUCAGAAGAGCACACACAAGGCGAUUUCUUACCUUAUUCCUCCCUCUUGAGGACAAAAAGUGCCCAGGAGCCAGGUGAGCUGCCACAAGCCAGGCUCAGUCUGCUCUGCCAAACCACCUCGUGGCAAAAUACAUUCGAUUAAAAACUGUGCAACACGCACUCAGAUGUACACAAAUUGGCUGGGACUCAGGAAGCCCUGAAGCUAGGUUUAAAAACCUGUUCUCACAGCUUGAGAGUAAUGCUCUUAAACCUAGGGACAGUGUCAAAUGGGGUCUGAUUAGCAGAAGUUCAACACUGACUUCGGAAUGUAAUUGCCUUGUAUAAGUAGAGGUUAAUUUCAGUUAAAUAGAUCGUACUGAUAUCCCUUGAGACUAGGUAAGCUGAUCUAAGAUGAAGCUGCCAGUUCGGUGAUUUAAAAUUAGAGCAAUGCCCUCCCUUCUUCAGGCCUCCCAGCAUCAUUCUUGCUGCCACAUGCUAACCCCACUGCAAUCUGAUGCUGUACCCAACUGAGAAUUGCUGUGCUCAAGUGGGAGGCAAUGAGAGCACAAGCACCACUGUUACGAAAGUCAAGCAGGAUUUGCUUCAUUGCCCCCAAGAUGAACAAACAUGAGGGUCCAUUUCCAUGGCACCGUGAUGGCACUGUGAACAUCUUCCAUGUACCACCAUUCUCUGUAGGACAGGAAUAUGCCCUCUCUUAAGGAAAAGGAGAAUUCUCCAAAAAGAGUGCAAUACAACAGUAGAAAGGGGCUCCCUACCAUCUGGGCAGACAGGCACCGAAGGUCUCAUAUAGGAUCACAGCUAUGUAUUGCUACCCUGUUCAAAAUGCUAGUACUAUUUACUGAUCAAAACCUCAAUUAGAAUAUGCAACCAAUGCAGGUAACUGAUUAUCUUGUAAAAGACUCUUAAAGAAAGUUGAGUUUCUGGAGUCUGGGGGCUGGAAGGUACCCUCAGGACAGAAUAGGUGUGAAAUGAUUCUGGGCGGCUCUAUGGUCGUCCUUUUUGUAACUUGUCUGUUAUAACCAGCAAUCUAGAAGGGACUUUCUAAAAUUAGAAAAAGACAUCCACAUGAAUGACAUACCCACUAUACAAAUAAUUAGUCAUUAUCCAGGUGUUAAGAAAUUUCAAAUAUAAAACCACUGGUC
rnacentral:lncRNA from 1 species